rnacentral:rRNA from 1 species
GAUGAACGCUGGCGGCGUGCCUAAUACAUGCAAGUCGAGCGAACAGACGAGGAGCUUGCUCCUCUGACGUUAGCGGCGGACGGGUGAGUAACACAUGGAUAACCUACCUAUAAAACUGGGAUAACUUCGGGAAACCGAAGCUAAUACCGGAUAAUAUAUUGAACCGCAUGGUUCAAUAGUGAAAGACGGUUUUGCUGUCACUUAUAGAUGGAUCCGCGCCGCAUUAGCUAGUUGGUAAGGUAACGGCUUACCAAGGCAACGAUGCGUAGCCGACCUGAGAGGGUGAUCGGCCACACUGGAACUGAGACACGGUCCAGACUCCUACGGGAGGCAGCAGUAGGGAAUCUUCCGCAAUGGGCGAAAGCCUGACGGAGCAACGCCGCGUGAGUGAUGAAGGUCUUCGGAUCGUAAAACUCUGUUAUUAGGGAAGAACAAAUGUGUAAGUAACUAUGCACGUCUUGACGGUACCUAAUCAGAAAGCCACGGCUAACUACGUG